rnacentral:lncRNA from 1 species
GCAAGUGCACUACAUUGGCGCCACGUAGGAGGCCAUGACCGCGAUCUGCAUGCCAUGCGAUCGGAUGACAUAGGAUGGAUCACGCACACGUGGACGGUGUGGAUCUGUUUUCCCUUUAGGCGCGAUCGAACAGUCGAGAUCAAAUGUAAUAAACGGUCAAGAUUCAUUUCUCCCUUAAGUGCGAUCAAACAGUUGAUAUCAAAUACGAUGAACGAUCCAGAUUCAUUUUUUUCUUAGGCACGAUCGGACAGAUGAGAUCAAUCGCGAUGGACGAUCCAGAUUAAUGCGAGAUGGAUAUAAAUAUUUCACAUCACAUAGAAAUCGAAUCUUAAUCGCCAGCACCCCCUCCCCCCGUUGGAAAAGAAGAACUAGACGCUGUAGAAGGAAGCCGAC